rnacentral:rRNA from 1 species
AGUGAACGCUGGCGGUAGGCCUAACACAUGCAAGUCGAACGGCAGCACAGUAAGAGCUUGCUCUUACGGGUGGCGAGUGGCGGACAGGUGAGGAAUACAUCGGAAUCUACUUUUUCGUGGGGGAUCACGUAGGGAAACUUACGCUAAUACCGCAUACGACCUACGGGUGAAAGCAGGGGAUAUUCGGACCUUGCGCGAUUGAAUGCGCCGAUGUCGGAUUAGCUAGUUGGCGGGGUAAAGGCCCACCAAGGCGACGAUCCGUAGCUGGUCUGAGAGGAUGGUCAGCCACACUGGAACUGAGACACGGUCCAGACUCCUACGGGAGGCAGCAGUGGGGAAUAUUGGACAAUGGGCGCAAGCCUGAUCCAGCCAGACCGCGUGGGUGAAGAAGGCCUUCGGGUUGUAAAGCCCUUUUGUUGGGAAAGAAAAGCAGCAGGUUAAUACCCCGCUGUUCUGACGGUACCCAAAGAAUAAGCACCGGCUAACUUCGUG